GGUGAGGAAGAUAACGGGACUGGAGUUGAUGUAUGGGGAUUUUAUUACGUUUGGAUUCCUGACUGACUGCUUUGGAAAGCGUGGAGUCACGGUAAGUGUUUCUUUAGUGGCCAAUGGCGGUUUUAGGCGGGGGCCAGCAGGGGCCAGUGCCCCCGUAACUCCGAGUCCGGCCCCCCCUGUGGCCCCCCGCCGAGGAGUCGGAGGGGGAACGCGGAACUAAAUCGUCUCAACAGGUUGCCGGUCGGAGCACUUAAAGAGGCGCACCCAGUGAAUCAUGCAGAAUACACCACACAAGAAGGAAAAGGGCCUGAGUUUUCUAGUGUUUAGUGUUUCCCAUACAUUGACUAAUUUGCCCUGCCACAGUCUCCAAAAACUGGCCAGAUAUAAAAUGCCUCCGGUAAAUGAACGUCACUCUGUAGCGCACCGGCUGGAGCUCCUACUGGGAAUUCUUCGGCUACCCCCUCCCUCCCCCUCCCCCUCCCCGGCCUCACCACAGACGUCGCUCCCCUAGCGCUAAUGUGAGCCUGAGUUGAUAGAGCAGACCGCAUUUCUAAGCGGAAUAUUGAGGAAUACUGACAUCCACUUCGUGAGCAUUCUUGAAAACACCCAGAACACAUCAGUAGAGAAUUGUGUGGCUGUAUUUAAGACAACUCUGAGCCUGCACAGCAACACACAGCACCAUUGAGCAUGGGUUUCCUCCAGGUGCUCCGACAUGUUCUUCCCGUGUCAGCGUGGGUUUCCUCCAGGUGCUCUGACAUGUUCUCCCUGUGUCAGCGUGGGUUUCCUCCAGGUGCUCUGACAUGUUCUCCCCGUGUCAGCGUGGGUUUCCUCCAGGUGCUCUGACAUGUUCUCCCUGUGUCAGCGUGGGUUUCCUCCAGGUGCUCUGACAUGUUCUCCCUGUGUCAGCGUGGGUUUCCUCCAGGUGCUCUGACAUGUUCUCCCCGUGUCAGCGUGGGUUUCCUCCAGGUGCUCUGACAUGUUCUCCCUGUGUCAGCGUGGGUUUCCUCCAGGUGCUCUGACAUGUUCUCCCCGUGUCAGCGUGGGUUUCCUCCAGGUGCUCCAGCUUCCUCCCACAGUCCAAAGACAUGCAGGUUAAUU